rnacentral:lncRNA from 1 species
CGCGCAGCCCCGCCGGCCCAGGCCCCGCCUCCCGCCGGGCGCGCUCCUCACCCCGCAGCCCCCAGCCCGCUUCCGCCUCGACGCCAGGAGGCUCCGGACUCGCCUGCCCGCGGCCUCCGGGCAGGUUUGUACCAGAGGACGAUAAAAUCCGUUGAGCAGACACACGCCCCUCCACUAUUGGCUCUAGGAGGGAAAAGCCCAGAAGAAACUCUCACCUACUCACACUCGACCACGCUGCUCAGGGCGCCGGCGGUGUGGGUGCUCUGGAAUUUCUCGCCCCUGAAUCUCCACUGGACACGAAAGCCGCUGUUAGGGUAAGACCGGAACCUCGACUCCAGGAAAUCUCGUCCUUCCGCCCCAGAAGAGGAGCCUGGGCCUCAGAUUCCAGCGUCUGAGGAGACCCCCCC